rnacentral:lncRNA from 1 species
GGAGAGAGAAUGGGAAGAGAGGAAAGGAGAAGAAGAGAAAAAAUGAAGCCUGCCUCAUAAUGAAGCCGGAGGCCUCUAUAAAUAGAGAUUACAAAAGUGAUGAAUAGUAAAAGUGACUGUUGGUGAAUAGUAACUUGUCUGCCACUGAGUAACUGUUGGUCAUGUGAAUUACUGUUGAUGAAUAGUGGAUUGUCUGUCACGUGAUUUACUGUUGAUUUCGGUGGAAAAGCUGACUGAGAUGGUCUUGACUGGAAUUAAUCAAACUCGGCAUAAGGGUCUUGACUAUCUUCAUAAUCUGCCCAUCGUUUUGGUUGAUUAGGGGAACUUUGAUGACUGUGUGAUGAUGAUUCUGAUGGAGAAUGUUCUUCGUUAUCAUCUGUAGAUAAAUUUGCUGCUUCUUGUAGUAACUGCUUUGCUAGUUCUUUUAACUCUUCUGCUUUGGAAGAUGAAGAUGAACUGGAGGCCUUUUUCUUCUGGGAAGAGGAUGGUGACUGAUUUGUCUUCUUGGAAGAAGAUGGUGACUGAGGAGUUUGAGAAGUUAACUGCGAGAUUGGAGGGGCCGGUUGAAUGGAAACCAGAGCUUUUGAACUCGAGGGAAUAACUGUGAAUUCUUCACUGAAUUGAGUUAAAACUCUCUCAGGGUCGAAUUUAUCCCACCAUUUUACUAGGAAUUGUCUUGUAACCAUGUAUUCUUCAGGUUCAAUUUUGUAUUGCCGGUCGAAUUUAUCCCACCAUUUUACUAGGAAUUGUCUUGUAACCAUGUAUUCUUCAGGUUCAAUUUUGUAUUGCCAUUUCAGAAUCCAAGGAAUUUUAUACUUGGCCAUGAAUUGAAGAGUGGGAGAAAAUCUUUUCUCAUAAUCUGAAAGGGUCAUGACUGUAGUAAAUUUGGUGACUGCAUUCUGGAGUUGUAAAGGGAGAAGAUCAUAAGAGCAGCCAUGGUCAUCCCACCAAUUGCAAAACCACAUAGGGAACUGGCGAUUGAAUCUUCUGUCGAAAUUGAGGAACCAUGAAUGACUAAAAUCCUCGGUUUGAUGGAGGAAUAUUUUAUCCCAUGCUUCCAUGUAGUCAUGAUAGGUAAAUGAGAUUGUGUCUAAUGUGUGGGGAGUAGAGGGGGGAUCACCCCAUUGGGCUAGCGACAUGAUUCGGAUUAUAUAAAGGGAAUGAUAUAAUGUCUUGGAUUGGUCUUUUGGAUCAAAGAUUGGUUUAAUGAAAAUUGACUCGGUUUUAUACAGGAUGUCUUUAUAAAAUGCUAAUGGGGGUUUUCCUGGAGGAUAAUGAGAGGUUGGACCAAAAUAACUUUUUACUAAAGAAACAGGGUGGGGACUCAAGGUGGGUUCAAUGUAAAAUAGGCCAUGCUCGACCCUGAUAAUGUAAGGGGAGGAUUUUUUAUAAGUAACUGGACGGUUAGAUGAGGAGCUUGAUUUGUAAGGGUCGAACUGGUUGACUAAAGCUGAUUGGUAACUGGGCAUAUUUGGACUGAGAGUGCUACCAAGAGCGCUAUAAUGGUUGACUAAUGAAACAGGAGAAUGACCUAUAAAAGGAACUAUGUUUGAUUUUGACUCAGGUGAUUCUGGCUUGACUGGAGAGGAUGCUGUAGCUUUUGAUUUUCCGGGAUUUCUCCCUUUGGAUGAGCUAGACAUUAUGUUGUGGCGCCCUGUAGAAAUUCACGAGUUAGGAAAUCUGGGAUAUGAUUGUCACUGCCUUUAAUGAAUGCAAUUUAAAAAUCAAAAAUACUUAAAAUUGCUUGCCAACGGGCAAAGAUCUGUUUACUAGCAAUGUUUUGAACAUCUUUUUCUAAAACAUCUUUAGCACUUUUACAAUCGACGCGGACUAAAAAUUUUUGAUUUAAUAAAUCAUCUUGAAAUUUACUGAUACAUAAAACAAUUGAUAAAAUUUCUUUUUUAAUAGUACUAUAAUUUGUUUGGGCUGGAUUCCAAAUCCCAGAAUGAAAACGAACAAUUUGCUCAGGAUGAUUAGGAGAAAGUUGUUGUUUGAGAAUACCUCUAUAACCUAUUUCAGAGGCAUCAGUUUCUACUAUUUUAUAGGAAUCG